rnacentral:rRNA from 1 species
GCAAGUCGAGCGGACUUGUUAGAAGCUUGCUUCUAACAAGUUAGCGGCGGACGGGUGAGUAACACGUGGGUAACCUGCCUGUAAGAUGGGGAUAACUCCGGGAAACCGGAGCUAAUACCGAAUAACACUUUCGCUCGCAUGAGCGGAUGUUAAAAGACGGUUUCGGCUGUCACUUACAGAUGGACCCGCGGCGCAUUAGCUAGUUGGUGAGGUAACGGCUCACCAAGGCGACGAUGCGUAGCCGACCUGAGAGGGUGAUCGGCCACACUGGGACUGAGACACGGCCCAGACUCCUACGGGAGGCAGCAGUAGGGAAUCUUCCGCAAUGGACGAAAGUCUGACGGAGCAACGCCGCGUGAGUGAUGAAGGUUUUCGGAUCGUAAAACUCUGUUGUUAGGGAAGAACAAGUAUGAGAGUAACUGCUCGUACCUUGACGGUACCUAACCAGAAAGCCACGGCUAACUACGUGCCAGCAGCCGCGGUAAUACGUAGGUGGCAAGCGUUGUCCGGAAUUAUUGGGCGUAAAGCGCGCGCAGGCGGUUCCUUAAGUCUGAUGUGAAAGCCCACGGCUCAACCGUGGAGGGUCAUUGGAAACUGGGGAACUUGAGUGCAGAAGAGGAAAGCGGAAUUCCACGUGUAGCGGUGAAAUGCGUAGAGAUGUGGAGGAACACCAGUGGCGAAGGCGGCUUUCUGGUCUGUAACUGACGCUGAGGCGCGAAAGCGUGGGGAGCAAACAGGAUUAGAUACCCUGGUAGUCCACGCCGUAAACGAUGAGUGCUAGUGGUUAGAAGGGUUUCCGCCCUUUAGUGCUGCAGCUAACGCAUUAAGCACUCCGCCUGGGGGAGUACGGCCGCAAGGCUGAAACUCAAAGGAAUUUGACGGGGGCCCGCACAAGCGGUGGA